rnacentral:tmRNA from 1 species
CUAUAUUGAGGGCGUCGGGAAACCGACUAUGGCGCUAAACGCCGUUCGGAAUAAGCGUUGCGGACCCGGGGGCGGUACCCGGCGCCUCCACCAUUUCGGCGGUCCCCAGGUUGGGACCGCUCCAUGGGGGCGAAACAGGAUCGACGCGCGUGGUAAAGGUACGGCUUGUGCUCGGCAUGGUACCGCCGUUAUCGGGCUAAAAACACAAGUGCCAACGACAACGUUGAGUACGCCGCUGCCGCUUAGUCGGUAAGCGCGGUUCGGGGGGCGCCGGGCAACAGAAGUCCCCCCACU